rnacentral:rRNA from 1 species
UUAAGUCGACCGCCUGGGGAGUACGGCCGCAAGGUUAAAACUCAAAUGAAUUGACGGGGGCCCGCACAAGCGGUGGAGCAUGUGGUUUAAUUCGAUGCAACGCGAAGAACCUUACCUGGUCUUGACAUCCACGGAAGUUUUCAGAGAUGAGAAUGUGCCUUCGGGAACCGUGAGACAGGUGCUGCAUGGCUGUCGUCAGCUCGUGUUGUGAAAUGUUGGGUUAAGUCCCGCAACGAGCGCAACCCUUAUCCUUUGUUGCCAGCGGUCCGGCCGGGAACUCAAAGGAGACUGCCAGUGAUAAACUGGAGGAAGGUGGGGAUGACGUCAAGUCAUCAUGGCCCUUACGACCAGGGCUACACACGUGCUACAAUGGCGCAUACAAAGAGAA